UAGAACGGGGUGGUAAUGCUGGAUGCUCCAACUUGACGCAUGCCUUGUUGGGAAAGUGUUUAGUGGCAUGGGAUGGGGUCGCGUCCUAUCAGCUUGUAGGCGGGGUAAUGGCCCACCUAGGCUUCGACGGGUAGCCGGCCUGAGAGGGCGGACGGCCACAUUGGGACUGAGAUACGGCCCAGACUCCUACGGGAGGCAGCAGCA
rnacentral:rRNA from 1 species